UACAGAGGGUGCGAGCGUUGUUCGGAAUUACUGGGCGUAAAGCGCGCGCAGGCGGCUCUUUAAGUCUACCCGUGAAAUGCCGGAGCUCAACUCCGCGCACGCCGGGGGAUACUGGAGAGCUGGAGACAUGUAGAGGCAAGCGGAAUUCCGGGUGUAGCGGUGGAAUGCGUAGAGAUCCGGAAGAACACCGGAGGCGAAGGCGGCUUGCUGGGCAUGGUCUGACGCUGAGGCGCGAAAGCGUGGGGAGCGAACAGG
rnacentral:rRNA from 1 species